rnacentral:rRNA from 1 species
UGGGGAAUCUUGCACAAUGGGGGCAACCCUGAUGCAGCGACGCCGCGUGAUCGAUGAAGGUUUUCGAAUCGUAAAGCUCUGUCCUAUGGGAAGAUAAUGACGGUACCAUAGGAGGAAGCCCCGGCUAACUACGUGCCAGCAGCCGCGGUAAUACGUAGGGGGCUAGCGUUGUCCGGAAUCACUGGGCGUAAAGGGUUCGCAGGCGGAAAUGCAAGUCAGGUGUAAAAGGCAGUAGCUUAACUACUGUAAGCAUUUGAAACUGCAUAUCUUGAGAAGAGUAGAGGUAAGUGGAAUUUUUAGUGUAGCGGUGAAAUGCGUAGAUAUUAAAAAGAAUACCGGUGGCGAAGGCGACUUACUGGGCUCAUUCUGACGCUGAGGAACGAAAGCGUGGGUAGCAAACAGG